AUGCCAACAGCGACGGCGACGGCGACGCCGACGCCCAAGGCGGUGAUCCACCAGCGGUACGGCGCCAAGGCCGUCUACAGGGUGGAUGAGGUGCGGGAGGCCGUUGACGGCGUCUGCCCCGGCCUCGCGCUGCCGCAGAGCACUAGGUGCGUCUACCGCUGCCAGCUCGACAUCCCGGGGGUGCUCAGCGUCUCCACCCCGGGGACCUUCGUCAGGAAGAAGGACGCCGAGCAGGGCGCCGCGCAGAUCGCCAUCGAAAAGCUUGGUAUUCAGCCCACAUCAAAUAUCCCUAAUACACCCGAAGAAGCUUGGGAGGAACUUAUUAGUCGGAUAUCUUACUUUUUUACAGAUGAGAACUUCCCCACAUCAUCUCAUCCUCUUGUUGGGCACUUGAGUGUGACACUCAGAAGAACUGGGGACUUCCUUGGAAAGAUACCUAUUUCAGCUAUUGUUGCUUGUGAUGUUAAGGUCCAUACAUUGUGUAAAAUUAUAGACCCUAAGGCAGAAUUUGAUCCUCUCUUGGUUCUUUCGAUGAUCUAUAAUGCUGCCAAACAAUCUCCUGGUGUAUCUGUUAGUAACAGAAACUUCUGGAUUCAGAGUCAAAGGCCUUAUUCCUCUGAGGCUGUUGAUUUGGCACUUCAGUGCUGGUCUGGUAUUUCAGAUCCCAUAAGAGUAGAAGCAGUUCUUAUUCCUUGUGCGGUGGAGGAUGAACCUAAGAUGGUAAGUCUUAAUAUAUCAGAGAAUGAACAUUACAUGGGUGAUAUAGCAUUGAAGCUCUCUGCAACUGACUCAUCUCAUGUCCUUGUCUCAAGAACAGUUGACAAAGCAUCUUCUGAGAUGAGGUUUUAUUUCCCAGCUCCGGAUGUACAAUUUGUUUCUGAUUUAUCAAAACAAUUGGUGGAUGAUCGUGGAGAUCGCAAUAUGAACUGUGUAAUAAAUAAGCGAGCUUCCUACAUUUCUGGCCAAACAAUUUAUGGAGAUGCAGUUUUGGCAAAUGUGGGAUACACAAGGAGAGAUACAGAACUUCAAACUGAUCAUGUCAAUCUAUGUACCUAUUACAGGAUUCUUCUGAGAAAAUUACCUGAUGGAAUUUACAAGAUCUCCAAGGACUCGAUUCUUGUGGCAGAGCUUCCGUGUGUUUAUACUCGUACCAGUUGGAAAGGCCCCUCUCCACGAGAUCUCCUUUGUUCUUUCUGUCGACUCCAGAGGCUAUCAGAACCCUAUUUCGCUGCCAAUAGGGUAAGUGCAUCCUGUAAUGUCCUAGGAUCAGCUGUGGGCUCUGAAGAGAUGGGGUCACCAAAAGCAACCGCAGGAAAUCAGUGCGCAAAUGAUGGAAGGAUUGCCAAGGAAAACCCAGACAUGUUCAAGUGCUCUGUCAAAAUAUAUUCAAAGAAGAGGGACCUUUUACUAGAGUAUUCUACAGAUUGUAGCUGGAGCAAGGAAACUGAUGCUAUUCAGAAUUCUGCGUUGAAGGUCUUGAUUUGGUUCAAUCGUUAUUUUAAGCAGCUGAACACGCCUGUGGAGAAGCUAAAUCUUCCUAAGAGCACUGAUGGCUUCACGAUAUAUCCGAAUAUAUUUUUACAAGAAUUUGCAAUGUGCUUAUCUGUCUAUGGCAAGACAAGUGGUGGUGAUUCAAGAACAUGCAGCGCAGUUGGAUAUUUUUCUAUGGAUACAUCAUAUCAGCAGCUUGAAAGCGGUGCAUUUUUAACAUACAUUGAUGGUCAAGAUUCUGGCGUUUUUCCAUCCCAUGGAUCGUUGGCUUGCAUAAGCUGCAGUGUUCAGCUGUUUAUGAAGGACAGCAGAAAGAGAUAUCUCCUAGAAGUCAAUAAUGAGUUUGAAUUUGAGAUAGGGGCUGGAGCUGUUAGGAAUCAGCUUGAAUCAUGUGCAACCCAACUCUCAGUUAAUCAAAGUGCAUGCUUUGUAGAUCAACUGUCUGAUAGGGAUUUGAGCCUGGCUGCAGCUUGUGAGUUGUCACCGGACCUUUCCAAGAUAUGUAGAGACAGCUGCGUCUUGGAGUUCUCCGUAAAGGUGUUGCAAGUAACUGAACCUUUAGAAGAUAGAAUGGAGAAGGCCUUGUUCAAUCCCCCUUUAUCUAAACAGAGGGUUGAAUUUGCUGUUCGGCACAUCAACCAGCUGCAUGCUACAACAUUGGUUGAUUUUGGUUGUGGAUCUGGUAGCCUUCUUGACUCACUGUUAGAGCAUCCAACAACCCUUGAAAAAAUUGUUGGUGUUGAUAUUUCUCGAAAGGGUCUUACGAGAGCGGCAAAGAGCCUUCAUCAGAAGCUUAGCAAGAAACUCUUGUUACAAAGUAGUGUUCCAACAGCUGUGCUCUAUCAUGGAUCAGUAACAGAUUUUGAUUCUCGCUUAUAUGGGUUUGAUAUUGGCACCUGUCUUGAGGUGAUUGAGCAUGUGGAGGAGGACCAAGCAAGUUUAUUUGGCAACGUUGUAUUGAGUUCAUUCUGUCCGGCGGUACUCAUUGUUUCCACACCCAACUACGAAUACAACCCUAUCCUCCAGAGGUCAGCUUUGCCAAACAAAGAAGAGGAGCAGGAACAAGACGCUGGACCUUGCAAGUUCCGCAACCAUGACCACAAGUUCGAAUGGACGAGGUCCCAGUUCCAGCGCUGGGCUACUGUCCUCGCUGCAAGCCACAACUACAGUGUGGAGUUCAGUGGCGUUGGCGGCUCGAGCGACGAACCUGGCUAUGCUUCCCAGAUUGCUGUUUUCAGAAGAAUGGCGAGAGAUCAAGGUGAAUCUUCCCGGAACGAGGAUGAUUCGCAUCAACCUUAUGAAGUUCUCUGGGAAUGGCCUAACGCAUCUGUACCGUCUCACUGA
rnacentral:rRNA from 1 species